GACGUAGGAUGCGAGCGUUGUUCGGAAUUAUUGGGCGUAAAGCGUGCGUAGGCGGUCAUUCAAGUCUGGUGUUAAAGCUAGAGGCUCAACCUCUGUGUUGCACUGGAAACUGGAUGACUUGAGUGCGGUAGGGGAAGGUAGAAUUCCGAGUGUAGCGGUGAAAUGCGUAGAUAUUCGGAGGAACACCAGUGGCGAAGGCGGCUCACUGGUCCAUUACUGACGCUGAGGUGCGAAAGCGUGGGGAGCAAACAGG
rnacentral:rRNA from 1 species